AAGAUCAUACUUCAAGGGAUCAUUUCUGAAGUAGACUUAACGGAUUCGUGACCGAAUCUGUAAGCAACACCGACCACGAUGACGAGGUGUGUAGUUUCCUCCUGAGAAAGAAAGAAAGAGCCUUUCGUGGGUUCGGUCAGGCCUUCGAUUGGGAGGUGGAAUGUUGAUGGA